UUAGCAGAAGUUUUGGCUGCUGGAGUAUGCCUGCCUACCUGAAGUUGUGUUUCCUUGAGUUGUGCUGAAGCACUGGAGUGUUUGGCUGACGGAGGACAGCUGCCCACUUGGAGUUGUGCUUCUUGGAGUUGUUCUGAAGCAUGAUUUGGUGGCUGGAGUUUAUGGUUCCCCUGCCUGUGCCAAGGCACUCGAGGGAUCCAGGUCCCUAAAACUGGCUUAACUUACAUGAUGUUCACAAUAUAAAUGCAAAAAAACCCAAAACAAAACAAUAAAAGAAAGCUGCUCUUCAGGAUGGCAGGCAAUCUGAUAUAGUAAUCCAUUUGCAUGGUCUCAGAUCUGCCAGUAUUUAUUCAUGUGACAAAGAACAAGUCAUUUCACCUCUAUGCGUCUCAGUUUUCACCUCUAAAAUGGAUGGGUGAACUGGGCUAGGUAAUAUCCAAGGUCCCAUCCAAAUUUAAAAUUAUAUUAUCUAUGGUAUCUGCUGUUUUUAUAUUGUACCUUAAGAUUAACAAAGUGCUUUUAUGGGUUAUCUCAUUGAUUCUUGCAAUAAAGAUAAUUUAUUACACCCAUUUUGCUCACAUUUAUGUAUUGUUUUAAGGUUUACAAAUCACCUUUCUCACCACAACCUCUGUGAAGUAAG